CCCAAUCGGCGGCCGCCCCGCCGUGGCCUUACGGCGGGCGCACCAAUGGCGGGGAAACUGAGGCCGAAGCGAAAGUGGAGGCAAUACAAUCCUGUGAAGGGGAAGAACAAAACGUAAGUGAAUGUAGAACUGCAUUGAAGAAAAAAUUUGAGAAGUAUUUGCCAAGUCGUGGUCAUUGUCGUGGUGAGAGCCACAUAUGCCACCUCCAAAGGGAAAGCCGUCCUCGCAGCCACGGCAGUGACAAGGAGUAAGGAGACACAACCCUCUGUCCCUGCAGAGUCUGGGCCAUCUGUAUGCAGUGGUGCCCAGCGUGAGAUACCCGUGACGGCCAGACGCUGCCUGCCUGCCUCAGCCUGAAGGUCUGAGCCAGGCGCGUGAACGAGGAUGGUGACCAAACAUGUACCUGCCCUGCCGAAGACGCGGGUCACCGCCCGUGGAGCGUGUCCCACGGACUUCAGCAGCACGUGUCCCCGGAUCCUGAGCCCAUUUCCUGCACGCCGGGCUGCAGCUCGUUGCAGUGUCCCCCGGGUGCCGUGAGCCGGCUGCGAGACGCUCGGGCUGCAAUGCGCGGCCACGCAAUGACAUCUCAAAGUGAGACUGCGUUUGGCCUGGCUGCUGCUCUGUUCCGGUCUCCGCAUUGGAUGGUAAGAGGGGGAUAAUAAGAGAGGAAAGGGAUAAAGAGACUGGGAGCAUAGAAAACCGGAUCAGAGUUACAGCAACAAUCGUGUGUAUCUCAGCUUUUUUUUCCCCACCUUUUUAUCCAACUCUUUAUGUAUGAGGAAUACGGAUGAGCAAUUGCAGUUUGCUGAGGACAGUAACUUCUCCGACCAGUAUAUAUGGCCAAAAGUGGAUCUGUGAAUAAGCCAUCAAUUAGAGAAAUCCUAAGGCCGCUCUAACCUUCUCCCACGGACCCCGGUAUCCCUGAGUCUGCAGAAGGACAGAGAUUUGUGUGGCAACUUAGGCCCAUCUCCAGCUGUGGCAAGGUGAUGCUCCCACGUCCGUAGAGGCUGUGGUGUUCGCUGCAGUUACCCCGAGGCAGUCCCCAGCAGCUGACGGGGAGAUAUGCAUAAAGGAAGUAUUUCACCCCAAGAAUACAUCUAAUCUCUGUGUCACUGAUGUCAUCCUUGCACGACCUUGGUACUUUGCAGAAGGACUACCACUAGGGUAAGAAAGGGGACAUUGGUCUUGAGGGAAAGGACCAUAUGGGUUGAAAUACAGUCAGACCACAAGGUGCAGAAAAUUGAAGGGAAUACCCCCAAAAUCACACUGCAGAACUCACAGCAGAACCCAGGACUUCUUAAUCCAGCCCCCACAUUUUGAGGUGGGGAUAGAAACCUUGUUGAACUACCCUUAAGUCGGAGCAUUGAGCCAAGCAGCCGUGCUGGCAGGGCUAGAGAGAGCUGGGCGAGGGGAGCAGAGCGUGGGAGGGCUGUCUGGGACAGUGUCUUCCUCCCACACUCGAGAGGAAGAAAUGUGUGUGCGCUCUCACAUCAGCUCAUGUGCCCUUCGGGCCUCUGCUGCUGGGCAGGACAGGCACGCUGUCCGCUACAGGCUCUGCCAGCUUGUGCCUUCCCAAGUUACCUGGCUUCAGGCCGAAACCCACAUGAAAAACGACAUGACACCCACUCAGCUUGGAUGCACUUCUCAAUUUUCAUGUCUCUUUGAUUUCCUAUUGGGAUAAAGAUGGAAGCAGCUGAAUUGUACUGGUCUCACUCUCCCAUCUAGUGGUAAAACAAGGAAAGGUGGUCCAGAUAAGAGACAGAAAGAAAUAAUUUAAGUUUUCCGUGGCUUCUGAAUGGGGUACAUGGUACUAUUAUCCCUGUGGAGCUCUGGGGUUCGGUUAAAUCCACCUUCCCCAGUGUGCUGGGGAAGAGGAAGGUCACAAAGCCAGCCCAGAAGACCCAGCAAAGUGCAAAGACUGUUCUGAACUGUUGCCAGGCCCUACAAGGUAGGGGCUACCCUUGCCCCAGGAAUAUCCACAAAGGAGGGAGAACUGUGCACUGAUAAAUAUGCCCCAGGUAAAAUGCUAAUAGUCUGGAUUUGGAAACAUGCACUUCUUAUGCAAAACGAUGUCUCCUGAGCAGCUGUUGAUGAAUGGGAGCCAGGAUGUUGCUGAAUAGCGUGAGAGCUGAAUCU